AAUUUUGCUCCCUUCGUGACAAACUCAGGGUCUUUGACAAGCAACAAUUACUCAAGCCAAGCUCAACUUCUGCAAGGGAAUAUUAGAGAUAUAUAGUACUCUAGAUGGCUAAGCUCAGUUUAGCUUUGUAAUACUGCUUCUAGAAUAUCUCCUAGUUAGUUUUCAGAUUCUUAUAUAAGAUAAGAAUCACUUUCAGUUGUAACUAACUU
rnacentral:lncRNA from 1 species